rnacentral:sRNA from 1 species
UCGACCAAGGUUCGAUUCGAGCGUCAGCGAGAAAGCGUUGCCGCAGGCAACGACCCGAAGGGUGAGGAGCGGAGCGACGAAUAAUCCUUCCCCCACCACCA